rnacentral:lncRNA from 1 species
CGGAUCUCUAAAUUCAAGGCCAGCCUGCUCUAAAGCCAGUUUCAGGACAGCCAGGACUACACAGAAAAACUCUGUCUCAAAAGAAUAAACAAAAAAGAAAAUGAAAAAAAAUGCAAUUUGGUAUUUUUCAGUUACUAGAAAGUUGCUAGAAACUGGACAUAGUGGCUGCACAUUUGUAAUCCCAUGCCUCCAAAGGCAAAGACAGGAUUACGGUGAAUUCCUGGCCUCUCUGGCCUACAUAGACCAGAUCUCAAAAACAAAAUGGGCGCGUGGAUUGUUCGAGACCUUUUAGCCGUUAGCUGCUGGUUCGGGCUUAAGUUACAGCUCUAUAUUCAAAUGGCGCACUUGGGUGAUGAACAGUGAUACCUCGUACAGGAAGCACUGGAGCUGGUAUCAGAAAUUCAUAGUUCUAGAAUUCAAAUUUGCUUUAUGAUCAUACGUAAUAGGUGGGGGCAGAAAAGGCGGGAAUACGUCAGUUCCCAUGUUCCCCGGGGGCACUGCCCUAUAAAAGGCGCUGCUCCGUGCGCGCCCGUUUCAUAACGCUCGGGGGAGCCGUUGGUGGUUGUGAGCUGUCGUCGGACACGGGAAAUCAGUUAUAUUCUUAACAUGGAUACAAGCAGCAGCAGUGAAGAAUACAUGCCUGAAUUGCCAAGGCAGAGAAAGGCCAGCUGUGUGGUGAUUGACUCGGACUCUGACAAUCCCCAUGAUGAAAACAGUGCUAAGAUCUGUGAAAUAAGCAGUGAAGGCAAGUAUCAUCCCUGUUUGGAGAAACAACUGAGCUCUGAAGCCUUAUUACAUGUGGCAGUUUUAG